rnacentral:rRNA from 1 species
AUGAGCAGGCGGGAUGAUCCAAAGAAUGCAGUUGGCUUUGACAAUGAUGUCGUGGAGUCUCUUGAAAGUCUGGUGCUCCGUGAGGAUCAUCCGAAGACGAUGUUCAUCUCCAUAUUUGGAGAAAGUGGUGUUGGAAAGAACACACUGGGAAGGGCUCUUUUCGAAAAAUUUGGAAAUAAAAAGGAGCUGGGAACUUACGGUUUUUUUGCCGCUGUGGAACCUGAUGACCUAGAAGAUGUUCUCCAUACAAUGUACAGACUAGUACCAAGUGAAACAGCUGAUUGUGGUCGGCCAGUGGAAGCCACUAAUAUGGCUGGAGAAAUAUGUCGCUUCCUGGCCAAUAGGAAGUACCUGAUUGUUCUUUCUGGCAUAUCCUCAAGAACAAUGCUCAACUGUCUAAGAAUGUGCCUGCCAGAUGAUGAGAAAGGAUGCGUUUUCACUGCACCGGGCCUUCACUAUCUUGAAGAGAUAACGCUGGAUGGAAUCCUGUCGUUUCCAGAUGGACCGCUGAAUAAUGUUUACAAGCUCCGACCGAAUUUCCGUAUGUUCAACAGGGAAGGUGUUGAUAAGAUGCCCCCAGAGAUCAGAGCGCAACUGGGCCUGGGACCGAGAUAA